ACUUCAUGAUUUGGGCAUUGGACGAAAUUUCCUUUAAAUCAUUCCCAAGCUUUAAACAAUAACUCUCCAUUCAUUUGCCAAAAAUUCACAAUCUCGUCCAACU